rnacentral:rRNA from 1 species
GAUGAACGCUGGCGGCGUGCCUAACACAUGCAAGUCGAACGUGAAGGGGUAGCAAUAUCCUGGAAAGUGGCGCACGGGUGAGUAAGACGUAGGUAACCUGCCCUGGAGUGGGGGAUAACAGCUGGAAACGGCUGCUAACACCGCAUAGGGCCAAGACACUGGGAAGUGACUUGGUAAAAACUCUGGUGCUUCAGGAGGGGCCUGCGGCCGAUUAGCUAGUUGGCGGGGUAAGAGCCCACCAAGGCGAUGAUCGGUAGCUGGUCUGAGAGGACGAUCAGCCACACGGGAACUGAGACACGGUCCCGACUCCUACGGGGGGCAGCAGUGAGGAAUAUUGGGCAAUGGGCGCAAGCCUGACCCAGCAACGCCGCGUGGAGGAAGACGGCCUUCGGGUUGUAAACUCCUUUUACGGGGGAAGAGGAAGGACGGUACCCCGCGAAUAAGUCACGGCUAACUACGUGCCAGCAGCCGCGGUAAUAC